GUGUGGAUGCAGGGUGGGAGAGUGAAUCAGCUGUAGGUGGCGAGUGGCUGGGACUGUUGACCUGUGUGUAGAAGCCUUGGUCAACUAUCUCCUAUAAUAUCACUGGAGCUCCUGACUCCAUAGACAGUGUCUCAUGAUCUACAAACCUCAUGUCUCAUGGGUCUUGGCCUCGAUGUGACAAAGAAGUCUGCACAGAUCUCUCGUAACACAGCAUCUGCCCUCCUCCAACUACGUUACCCACAUGUUUCCUGCAACACCUUGUCAUGUGAUGGGAUGAAGGCGGGAGCUGAGUGGAAUUCCAGGGAGAACGCAGUGCGACGCCUUCGCUGAGGCCCGGCUGCACCCGGCGACUCUGAUGUCUGCUUUAUUGCAAACAACCCACGGUGCACAGGCGCUGGCUGAGCUGCAGCCUUUCAUCAACGAGCAGCCCCGCGUUGAGCGGCAUCCAGUGCCUUCCUCUGGCCACCAUUUGGCAAAUUGGACCAUGCAUCAAAGCAGCGUCACUAGAAGAGACCCGCUACCUGCCUCAAACCG
rnacentral:lncRNA from 1 species